AGAGUUUGAUCAUGGCUCAGAUUGAACGCUGGCGGCAUGCCUUACACAUGCAAGUCGAGCGGCAGCGCGGGGCAACCCUGGCGGCGAGCGGCGCACGGGUGAGUAAUGCAUCGGAACGUGUCCUCUUGUGGGGGAUAACCAGUCGAAAGACUGGCUAAUACCGCAUGAGAUCGAGAGAUGAAAGCAGGGGACCCGCAAGGCCUUGCGCGAGAGGAGCGGCCGAUGCCGGAUUAGCUAGUUGGCGGGGUAAUGGCCCACCAAGGCGACGAUCCGUAGCUGGUCUGAGAGGACGACCAGCCACACUGGGACUGAGACACGGCCCAGACUCCUACGGGAGGCAGCAGUGGGGAAUUUUGGACAAUGGGGGCAACCCUGAUCCAGCCAUGCCGCGUGUGUGAAGAAGGCCUUCGGGUUGUAAAGCACUUUCGGACGGAACGAAAUCGCACGAUCUAACAAGUCGUGUGGAUGACGGUACCGUAAGAAGAAGCACCGGCUAACUACGUGCCAGCAGCCGCGGUAAUACGUAGGGUGCGAGCGUUAAUCGGAAUUACUGGGCGUAAAGUGUGCGCAGGCGGCAAAGCAAGUCGAGUGUGAAAGCCCCGGGCUUAACUUGGGAAUUGCGCUCGAAACUACUUUGCUGGAGUGUGGCAGAGGAAGGUGGAAUUCCACGUGUAGCGGUGAAAUGCGUAGAGAUGUGGAGGAACACCAAUGGCGAAGGCAGCCUUCUGGGCCAACACUGACGCUCAUGCACGAAAGCGUGGGGAGCAAACAGGAUUAGAUACCCUAGUAGUCC
rnacentral:rRNA from 1 species